AUGAGCUUUGAUUCUUCAUGUGGCUUUCUCUUUAACCCACCUCAUUAUUAUGGUGGAUGUCAGUAUGUUAAAGGUACAAAACAGAUUUUAAUAGCAGUGUGUUCUCAGGCAUUCACCACAGCCACCUCCAUCUGCCACACCUCCAGUUGCACUGCCCACUCAUUCAUCGUCACCCGAAUUCUAAUCACCUGCACCUGAUCCUCACUGAGCCACACCCUAUAUAAGAGACAAUCUCACCAUUCCCCCUUUGUCUGGUCUACCGUUCACAUGCUAAUGUUAUUCCUGACUCCAUGCUUCUCUCCACGUGGAUUUCUCUGUUGCUCUCUGGUUUUGGUGUGGCUCACUCUCUGGAACUCACAUCUACUCAAUGUUACAAGGACAGUCAGUUAAGAACUCAUUCAUACUGUUUCAUUCAGUUUGCUGUACUUACAAGCUUGUCAGUAAAUCUCUGGAUUGGAUUGCUACUCAUUUCCUGUCUCCUCCGUGUAUGUGUGUGUAUUUGUGACAGAAGACCAGACCGAUACAAACAUGAGCACCAAAACACCAGCUGCAUCGGCUCCCCUCACCGAGUUGGUGAAUGCCUUUAAGACGGCGUUUCAACCCACACCUACGCCGCCAUCUGCCUCAGGAUCUCCCAUGGCCAUGCCCGCCACAUUUGCGGACGAGGCAGUUGAAUGUAGCGGGUUUUGUGCUCCAAGUCAAUCUGUAGAUCCAAAUGCACCACAUUUUCCCUUGGAGAACGCUAAAGUCACCUUUCUCAUCUCUCUCCUCACCGGUAAGGCCCUCCGAUGGGCAAAAGCUAUUUGGAGCUCCGACAAUCCCAUUCACUCCUAUGAACAAUUUACUAGUCAAUUCUCAGAGGUUUUCAGCACGGCUACCGGUACACUCACCGCUUCUGAUCAGCUGUUCCGCUUACAACAGGGGACUUCUUCAGUGAAUGACUACACUCUCCACUUCCACAUGCUGGUGGCGGCUAGUGGCUGGAACGAGAUCACGCUGCUGGGAGACUACAGACAAGGAUUCAACCCUGAAAUCCGCGGUGCUAUGGCCCUAUAUGACGACAGCAUUGGACUGGAGUCCUUUCUUCUAGGGCUGCACGAUUAAUCGCACGAUAUUGUGAGGCGCGCUUAGUCAAUGAAGCCGGUACUUUGAUUACUAGUAAAGCUCCAUCACGUGCGUUCAGCUGGAGUGGCAAUUAAUACACAGAGCCGUAAAUCACUGACAAGCUACGCCAAAUCGUGCUAAAAAUCGCAUUCGGAGUCAAGGAUCCAUCCAACCAUCUACCUCGCCGGCCUCAGGUUUGAGAAGUGUGAGUUCCACCAACCAUCAGUACAAUUUCUUGGAUCUGUCAUCAGCGCCGAGGGUGUGCAGAUGGAUCAGGGGAAAGUCUCCGCCAUACAAGAAUGGCCUCAACCUCACACAGUGAAAGACCUUCAAAGUUUUCUUGGUGUCUCCGAAUUUAUAUCGACACUUCAUCCAGAACUACAGCUCUAUCACGGCUCCGUUAACCUCCCUCCUGAGGGGUAAACCUAAGAAUCUCACCUGGAACCCUGCUGCUCACGAAGCAUCCCAACGGCUCAAGAACAUCUUUAGCACCGCACCCUUAUUACACCACCCAGAUCCUUAACUCCCCUUCACGGUUGAGGUCGACGCUUCCACCUCUGGAGUGGGUGCGGUGCUAUCCCAAGCGGCCGGCGAGCCUCUCCUCCAUCCCUGCGCGUUCUACUCACGUAGGCUGUCUCCGGAGCAAAACUACAACGUGGGAAACGGAGAACUACUAGCCAUCAAGUUGGCCCUGGAGGAGUGGCGCCACUGAUUGGAGGGAGCAGCUCAUCAGUUCACCAUCAUCAUGGAUCACAAGAACCUCCAAUAUCUCCCGAGAAGCAAGACGUUUAAACCCCAGACAAGCACGUUGGGCACUAUUCUUCACACGCUUCAACUUCAAGAUUACAUACCACCCCGGUUCCAAGAAUGUUUCUGCCAACGCUCUCUCUCAUCAGUUCUCCUCCGACUGCCCCUCUGAACCCAAACCUAUCAUCCCAUCCAACCUGAUUGUCAGCUCCCAUCCUCUGGAAUCAAGGCACAAACAUUCAGCAAGCCACCCUCCAGGAGCCUGCUCCACUGGAAUGCCCAGAGGGGAAGAUCUACGUGCCUCGCUCCCAACGUCAACCACUUCUGGGUGCAGCUCACCAGUCUCCGGGCUCUGGACGUCCAGGCAGCAAACGGACACUCUCGCUCCUUCAAUCUCAUUACUGGUGGCCCAGUAUGCGCCGUGAUACCAUCAGGUACGUCCAAAGCUACUCUGUCUGUGCUAUGUCUACCUCUCCCUGUCAACUACCCACAGGAAAGCUGGUACCAUUACCCAUCCCAGAGAGGCCCUGGUCCCACAUAGGAGUAGACUUUGUGAUUGUAUCUCCCUAACUCAGAAGGUAACGCCUGUGUACUAGUCAUUGUCGAUCGAUUCUCUAAUUCCCUCUAAGGGGACUGCCCACUGCACUAGAGACUGCAGAGCAUCUCUUCCAGCAGGUGUUUCGUCAUUUCGGCCUACCAGAGGAGAUUGUGUCGGACCAUGGACCUCAAUUCAUCUCGCAUGCCUGGAAAGCUUUCUUUAAGCUACUUGGUUUUUCUGUUAACCUCUCAUCCGGUUAUCAUCCACAGACCAAUGGCCAGCCAGAGAGAAAAAUCCAAGAGCUGGGGCGUUACUUCCGGGCAUACUGUCCGCCAAGAUACCACCAGCUUAACACCUUUCCAGUGCGUACUCGGUUAUCAGCCUCCGCUGUUUCCCUGGACGGAGGAACCCUCUAAUGUUCCAGCUGUAGACCACUGGUUUCAAGAGAGUGAGAGAGAGUGGGACUCAUUGGCAUCUCCAGCGGGCAGUUCGUCAACACAAGAGGUUCGCUGACACCAGAAGAAGGAUUGGAGCAGUCAGGGGAUCAGGUCUGGCUGUCCACCCGCGGUCUACGUCUGCGUCUGCUCUGCUGCAAGCUGAGUCCCUGCUACGUUGGUCUGUUCAAAAUCCUGAGGCAGAUCAACGACGUCACCUUCCAGCUUCAGCUCCCACCCAGGUACCGCAUUCACCCCACCUUCCUUCCACAUUUCCCUCCUAAAAACCUUUUUUCCCUCUGCCACAGAUCAUGCGGGAACCCCCUCCUCCGGAAGUCCUAGACCAACCCUCCAUCUUUACGGUCCACGAGCUCUUGGACUCACGGCGUCGGGGGGGCCACUUGGAAUACCUCGUCGACUGGGAGGGGUAUGGGCCUGAGGAGCGAUCCUGGGUGCCCAGAGACGACGUACUCGAUCCUACCUUACUACAGGAGUUCCAUCGGAACCACCCGGAUCGUCCUGCCCCUCGCAGUCGUGGUCGCCCUCUGCGUCGUGUAAGGGCGUCGGGAGCCGCCCCUGGAGGAGGGGGUAGUGUCAGGCAUUCACCACAGCCACCUCCAUCUGCCACAACUCCAGUUGCACCGCCCACUCAUUCAUCAUCACCCCAAUUCUAAUCACCUGCACCUGAUCCUCAUUGAGCCAUGCCCUAUAUAAGAGACACUCUCACCAUUCCCCUUUUGCCUGGUCUACCGUUCACAUGCUAACGCUAUUCCUGACUCCAUGCUUCUCUCCACGUGGAUUUCUCCGUUGCUCUCUGGUUUUGGUGUGGCUCACUCUCUGGAACUCACAUCUACUCAACGUUACAAGGACAGUCAGUUAAGAACUCAUACAUACGGUGUCAUUCCAUUUGCUGUACUUACAAGCUUGUCAAAUCUCUGGAUUGGAUUGCUACUCACCUCCUGUCUCCUCCGUGUAUGUGUGUGUAUUUGUGACAUGUGCGUUGUUGAAUUUACUGCUUUACAUUCAAAUUUUCUUGUUUGUAAGUUACAGUUUUGUACUGUAAAAUGUACAGUUUUUGGCCGUAAAUGUGUUUACAGUAUUUUACAAUUUUUUUUUUUCAAAUUAUUUUGUAAAAACUACAGAAUUUUGUGUAUAUACUAAUAUUACAUCUCUUCUUUGUUGUAGAAGUUCUUGAAUGUCUGUUUAAAGAGUGCAUGGAGGAAAACUAUUACACAGUUUUUCCUAGCGCUUUCCCAGCAAGGGAAACAGGAACAGGGAAAGGGUGGCCCACCAUCCACUAUGCACACAUUUCCUUCCUUGCAAACCCUAAACAAACUAAACUCACCAACUACUCCAUGCAGCUUAAAAAAUUAUGCGUACUAGUAACAAAAAUGCACUAGUGUAUAUGUAGCCUUAGUACUGAGAGAUAUAAACUUACACUUCUGACUUAUUUCUCAGUUCCCCUCAAAAAAACAAAGAAUUCUGAAAUAAAAAGUCGCAAUAACAUUUUUACUUUUAUUCCUUGGUGAAAACAAGCUUCCAUGUAACUGUUCAUACACUUGAGAUGCAAUAAUUAUGUCAUGUUAACCUAUGCUCUACAGUGAAAUGUAUAUAAUACUAGCAGGUUAUUUUACAUUAGCAACAGUAGUUGUACUAUUAGUAGUAGUUUAUUAUUAGCUGUAUGUGAACGGAAACAGAGUUUCUUUGAGGUCAAGUUAAUAAAGGCAAACAAAUCAAUGCAAGCAAAUGAAGGCCCUCACAUUCGCUCAUGAAUAUGCAUGAGUGAGGAGAUACUGUAUCACUCAAAUGAUAAGAUUUUAUAUAGUCAUAUACACAGACGCAAAAGCGUAUCUGCGUGGGUUCUUUUCUCCACAUGCAUCUGUCCUGAAUGUUCAUUUAGUAGAGGUAUCAGUGCAGAUCAUGUAUUUAUAAAGGAUGGAGACAGGAUGAGUGGAGGCACACUGACCCUGUGAAGUCUGUUUACAUUGAGUAGAGGACAUUAUGUUCAUUUAGUUUGAAUAUAUCAGCAGUCAGUCACAGUACUGAUGAUUUAGGAAGGAAACUGUGGACCUUAAAAGUGUCAGUGGCUGGUAGCAUGUCAAAGUGCUUCACCUGGAGGCCAUAUUGGUAUUUGUUGACCUGAUGCCUCCACCAUGGAUUGCCAUUGGAUGCUUUUAUGCUUUAUAUUAAUUAUAUUGUCAUUAUGUGUAAGCUGUAACUGCACAGAUGAAGAAACUAAGUCUUCAGGGGACCAGGCCAGCCGCCUGAGACACAUGUGGCAGCUCUCAAUGAGGGAUGCAAAGAUGAGAAAGAAGGCAGCCGUAGAGGAGUCUAAUCCAGCUCAACAUCAGCUGCUGUAUUGCCGUGUUGGGAUUGGUUUCCACCUACAGAUUGUGAUGAACGGCAGUGUGGGGGGCGUUCACGAGCCUUCUGAGCUUGCUAAGAGUGUUUGCUGUCAGGCCGGGCAUAGUGGGUAUCCGUGGUGUGAAGAGUGAACGAUAUUUGUGCAUGAAUCAAGAAGGAAUUG